rnacentral:rRNA from 1 species
UACGGGGGGGGCAAGCGUUGUUCGGAAUUACUGGGCGUAAAGGGCUCGUAGGUGGCCAACUAAGUCAGACGUGAAAUCCCUCGGCUUAACCGGGGAACUGCGUCUGAUACUGGAUGGCUUGAGUUUGGGAGAGGGACGCGGAAUUCCAGGUGUAGCGGUGAAAUGCGUAGAUAUCUGGAGGAACACCGGUGGCGAAGGCAGCCCCCUGGGCUAACACUGACGCUCAGGCACGAAAGCGUGGGGAGCAAACAGG